CCGCCUCCCCUUCUGGUGAUGACCAUAUGCAGCCAAUGCUGAUGUGAACCUGAGUGAUGAACAAAUGCAGCAUGCCUGGAAAAGUACUUCAAAGCACACCCCCAUCUGGCUCGCUGCACUGCCUCAAGAAAACUGCCUUUCUCCCAUAUGCAAGUUCCUAAGAAGUUACUUUAUGAAGCAAGCCAGCAGGGUGUACGUGUUAGGCAUGGCAGCACGGAGAACAAAUAAACAUGAGUAUUUGGUGCAA
rnacentral:lncRNA from 1 species